CGGGGGGGCUAGCGUACCAUGCAGUCGAACGAUGACGGUGGUGCUUGCACCGCCUGAUUAGUGGCGAACGGGUGAGUAACACGUGAGUAACCUGCCCUCCACUUCGGGAUAACCUCGGGAAAUCGUGGCUAAUACCGGAUAUGAGCACUCAUCGCAUGGUGGGUGUUGGAAAGAUUUAUCGGUGGGGGAUGGACUCGCGGCCUAUCAUUUUGUUGGUGAGGUGAUGGCUCACCAAGACGAUGACGGGUAGCCGGCCUGAGAGGGCGACCGGCCACACUGGGACUGAGACACGGCCCAGACUCCUACGGGAGGCAGCAGUGGGGAAUAUUGCACAAUGGGCAAAAGCCUGAUGCAGCGACGCCGCGUGGGGGAUGACGGCCUUCGGGUUGUAAACCCCUUUCAGUAGGGAAGAAGCGAGAGUGACGGUACCUGCAAAAGAAGCGCCGGCUAACUACGUGCCAGCAGCCGCGGUAAUACGUAGGGCGCAAGCGUUGUCCGGAAUUAUUGGGCGUAAAGAGCUUGUAGGUGGCUUGUCGCGUCUGCCGUGAAAACCCGAGGCUCAACCUCGGGCGUGCGGUGGGUACGGGCAGGCUAGAGUGUGGUAGGGGAGACUGGAACUCCUGGUGUAGCGGUGAAAUGCGCAGAUAUCAGGAAGAACACCGAUGGCGAAGGCAGGUCUCUGGGCCAUUACUGACACUGAGAAGCGAAAGCAUGGGUAGCGAACAGGAUUAGAUACCCUGGUAGUCCAUGCCGUAAACGUUGGGCACUAGGUGUGGGGGACAUUCCACGUUUUUCCGCGCCGUAGCUAACGCAUUAAGUGCCCCGCCUGGGGGAGUACGGCCGCAAGGCUAAACUCAGAGGAUUUGACGGGGGCCCCGCACAGCGGGCGGAGCAUGCUGAUUUAUUUCGAUGCACGCGAGAUUUUACCAGGCUUGACUUGCACUGGACGGCUGCAGAGAUGUGCUUUCUUUGGACUGUGCACGUGAUGCAUGUUGUCGUCAGCUCGUGUCGUGAGAUGUUGGAUUAGUUCCAGCACGACGCACCUCCUUCUAUGUUGCAGCACUUGAUGUGGACUCAUAGAACUGCCGGCUCAUCUCGAGCAGUGAGACGACGUCAAUCUCAUGCCCUUAUGGUCUUGGCCUCAGCGUUCAAUGAUCGUCAAUGGUGCGACUGUAGUAGAAGA
rnacentral:rRNA from 1 species